rnacentral:rRNA from 1 species
AGGAUUUUCUGAGUAGCGGCGAGCGAAAAGAAAAUAGUUCAGCACUAAGUCACUUUGUCUUUAUGAUAAAUGUGAGAUGCAGUGUAUGGAACAUCUAUAAUCUAGUAUGAGAAAUUAACGAUUUAAGUCCUUCUUAAAUGAGGCCAUUUACCCAUAGAGGGUGCCAGGCCCGUGUAA